UACGUAGGGUGCGAGCGUUGUCCGGAAUUAUUGGGCGUAAAGGGCUCGUAGGCGGUUUGUCGCGUCGGGAGUGAAAACACGGGGCUUAACCCCGUGCCUGCUUCCGAUACGGGCAGACUAGAGGUAUGCAGGGGAGAACGGAAUUCCUGGUGUAGCGGUGAAAUGCGCAGAUAUCAGGAGGAACACCGGUGGCGAAGGCGGUUCUCUGGGCAUGUCCUGACGCUGAGGAGCGAAAGUGUGGGGAGCGAACAGG
rnacentral:rRNA from 1 species